GAUGAACGCUGGCGGCGUGCCUAAUACAUGCAAGUCGAGCGAACAGAUGAGGAGCUUGCUCCUCUGACGUUAGCGGCGGACGGGUGAGUAACACGUGGAUAACCUACCUAUAAGACUGGGAUAACUUCGGGAAACCGGAGCUAAUACCGGAUAAUAUUUUGAACCGCAUGGUUCAAAAGUGAAAGACGGUUUUGCUGUCCCUUAUAGAUGGAUCCGCGCCGCAUUAGCUAGUUGGUAAGGUAACGGCUUACCAAGGCAACGAUGCGUAGCCGACCUGAGAGGGUGAUCGGCCACACUGGAACUGAGACACGGUCCAGACUCCUACGGGAGGCAGCAGUAGGGAAUCUUCCGCAAUGGGCGAAAGCCUGACGGAGCAACGCCGCGUGAGUGAUGAAGGUCUUCGGAUCGUAAAACUCUGUUAUUAGGGAAGAACAAAUGUGUAAGUAACUAUGCACGUCUUGACGGUACCUAAUCAGAAAGCCACGGCUAACUACGUG
rnacentral:rRNA from 1 species